rnacentral:tRNA from 1 species
UAAUAAGAAGUAAAACAUUACCUUUAGUUUCGACCUAAAAAUCUGAUAUACCUAUAUCCUUAUUUU